UGCUCGGCUACAUCUGGGUUGUAGUAAGUCUGAAUGCCAUGCACAAUUUUGCGUGGUUCCAUUAAGUUUUGUGGAAUAUAACCGUUUCAGGUAUCUGAAGAUGCCUAGGUCUGACUGGGGCCAAGAAGGCAUAUCAAGGGUUGCCCACCUACAAGCUCAAACUUCCCUGGGCAUGUCUCUGGUCUUCUGAGGACAAUGAGAAGGCUUACUUAUGCUUCUAAAACAGAAUAAAAUCUACUGUAUUUUGGGAUAAGCAUCUUACAAUCAUCACUGAGCAAUUUGAAACUUCCAAAGCAUACUAUGAAAUAUACAUUGGUGUAAUUCUCUGAAGAUUUUUUAUUUUAGCAGCAUAAUAGUUAUCUCAUCAUUAUUCAUAAUUGCUCCAAUAAUAUGAAUAUAAUAAGCAAACAGAAAGUGACAGAUGUGCUGGGAAAUGCUGGCAAUAAAUUAAAUGUAUCUAGCAGAUAUUUAUAAACCAUUUCAUUUGAACACAAAAGAAUAUACCUUCUCAACAGCUUAUGGAACUUUCUCCAAAACUGGCCACAUACAUGAGCACAAAGCAUGUUUCAAGAUUCAUAAGAAUACUGAAAUAACACCAUGCCCUCUCUUACUACUAUGAGUUAAAGCUGAAUAUCAGAAACUACAGAAAGCACACAAACUACUCAAAACUGAAUAACUAACAAUUGAAUGAAAAAUGUAUCAAGACAGGUAUUAAGAAACAAUUUUAUCUAUACAAUAAAAACUUUAAGGCACUGAAGAAAGAAACUGAAGAAGAUAUCAGAAGAUGGAAAGAUCUCUCAUGCUUUUGGAUCAGUAGGAUUAGUAUAGUGAAAAUGGUCAUCAUACCCAAAAGCAUGCUACAGAUCCCAAAAAGGCUCCAUCAAUAUUCCAACACAAUUCUUCAAAGAAAUUUGAAGAACAAUUUUCAGAUUUAUAUGGAAGCAAAAAUAUUGCAGGAGAGCUAGAACAAUCAUGAAUAAUGAACAAAUUGCUGGGGAUAGCAUUAUCCUCAAACUCAAGUCCCACAACAAAUCUAUAGUAAUAAAAUCAGCAUUGUAUUGACAUAAACAGACACAUGGACCAAUGAAAUCAAAUUGCAAACCUAGUCAUAAAUCCACACACCCACAGACACCUGAUUUUUGACAAUGAAUUUUGAAAUACACACUGGAAAAAAAGAUAGCAUCCUCAAGAAAUAGUGCUGGUCAUACUGAAUAUCAGCAUGCAGAAGAUGAAUACAGAUCGGCCUUCAUGUUGAUCAUAAUUCAACAUAAGGCAAGAUACCCUGAAUCUGACAGAAGAGAAAGUUGGGAGUAGUUUUGAAUCAUCGUCACAGAAGAAGGCUUUUUGAACUGAGCACCAACAGCACAUGGCCACUAAGAUCAAUAAUUAAUAAAUGGGACCUCAUGCAACUAAAAAGCUGUACAGCAAAGGACACCAUCUCUUCAAAUAAAAUAACAGGCUUCA